rnacentral:rRNA from 1 species
GAUGAACGCUGGCGGCGUGCCUAAUACAUGCAAGUCGAGCGAACAGACGAGGAGCUUGCUCCUCUGACGUUAGCGGCGGACGGGUGAGUAACACGUGGAUAACCUACCUAUAAGACUGGGAUAACUUCGGGAAACCAGAGCUAAUACCGGAUAAUAUAUUGAACCGCAUGGUUCAAUAGUGAAAGACGGUUUUGCUGUCACUUAUAGACUGAUCCGCGCCGCAUUAGCUAGUUGGUAAGGUAACGGCUUACCAAGGCAACGAUGCGUAGCCGACCUGAGAGGGUGAUCGGCCACACUGGAACUGAGACACGGUCCAGACUCCUACGGGAGGCAGCAGUAGGGAAUCUUCCGCAAUGGGCGAAAGCCUGACGGAGCAACGCCGCGUGAGUGAUGAAGGUCUUCGGAUCGUAAAGCUCUGUUAUUAGGAAAGAACAAAUGUGUAAGUACCUAUGCACGUCUUGACGGUACCUAAUCAGAAAGCCACGGCUAACUACGUG